AAGUAUACCCCUGAGAUGGACUGAAAAGAGAGGACUGAAAAUGGAGGCCCUGAUCCUGACAACAUACUGAUGCAUCCUGAAGAAGCUGUCCCGUGGGAACAGAGAACACUGUCUCAUGAAAACAGGAGCACUGUCUCAUGAGAACAAGGACCUGUUUUGAACGAGAGUAGUUGGGAAGAACAUCAACAUGAGAGAAAAAUAAGAGCAGGUGCUCGGGACUGUUGUGGGAAAGAACUGGGCUGUUUUGAGAAAGAGUAAACCCUAGCUCAUUUAA